AACGAACGCUGGCGGCAUGCCUAACACAUGCAAGUCGAACGAGAUCUUCGGGUCUAGUGGCGCACGGGUGCGUAACGCGUGGGAAUCUGCCCUUUGGUUCGGAAUAACAGUUGGAAACGACUGCUAAUACCGGAUGAUGACGAAAGUCCAAAGAUUUAUCGGCAGAGGAUGAGCCCGCGUAGGAUUAGCUAGUUGGUGUGGUAAAGGCGCACCAAGGCGACGAUCCUUAGCUGGUCUGAGAGGAUGAUCAGCCACACUGGGACUGAGACACGGACCAGACUCCGACGGGAGGCAGCAGUGGGGAAUAUUGGACAAUGGGCGAAAGCCUGAUCCAGCAAUGCCGCGUGAGUGAUGAAGGCCUUAGGGUUGUAAAGCUCUUUUACCCGGGAUGAUAAUGACAGUACCGGGAGAAUAAGCUCCGGCUAACUCCGUGCCAGCCGCCGCAGUAA
rnacentral:rRNA from 1 species